UACAGAGGGGGCAAGCGUUGUUCGGAAUUACUGGGCGUAAAGGGCGCGUAGGCGGCCUGUUAAGUCGAACGUGAAAUCCCCAGGCUCAACCUGGGAACUGCGUCCGAUACUGGCAGGCUUGAAUCCGGGAGAGGGAUGCGGAAUUCCAGGUGUAGCGGUGAAAUGCGUAGAUAUCUGGAGGAAUACCGGUGGCGAAGGCGGCAUCCUGGACCGGCAUUGACGCUGAGGCGCGAAAGCCAGGGGAGCAAACGGG
rnacentral:rRNA from 1 species